GCCUGGCUAGCUCAGUCGGUAGAGCGUGAGACUCUUAAUCUCAGGGUUGUGGGUUCGAGCCCCACGCCGGGCG
rnacentral:tRNA from 1 species